rnacentral:tRNA from 1 species
UCCAUGGUGGUCCAGUGGUUAGGACUCCAGACUUUCACUGGCUAGGGCCCAGGUUUAAUUCCUGGUUGGGGAA